rnacentral:lncRNA from 1 species
UUUUUUUUAAUUGUUUUUCCUGAUUUUCAAAUAUUUGAAUUAUUUGACAAUUUAAUCUCUAAUCAUCCCUACUCACUACUCCAGCUUGGAUAUCUCAUUCAAAUCGUCUAAUUUCUCGGUCAAUCACCCACUCCACUCAUUUCAAAUCAUCUAACUUCAUGUCAUUCAAAUCGUCUAAUUUCCCGGUCAAUCACCCACUUACACACUCC